CUCUUUGAAGUCGCAUUUGCCUGAUUUCAUAGGCCUUUCUAGACGUUUUAAGAUGAUUGGAAAAAUACAUGGAUGUCAAAUAUAUGAUGAUUAUGCACACCAUCCAACCGAAGUAUAUUGUGUCCUUCAAGCACAACGAUAGAGAUUCCCAUCGAAGAGACUGGUAGCGGUGUUCCAUCCUCAUACAUACAGGCAUUUACUUGAACAAAACAUGAAUGGUUUUGUCCGUCCGAGAAACAGGUCCUUGGAAUGUUUGUGGAAAGGAUUUAGCUACCUUCAUAGUCGGUCCUACAUCCGAAUACAUUCCAGCUCUGGACGAUGUGGUCGAUAAACUAGCACUCGAGAUAUGCAAGGACCCUU